AUACGGAGGGUGCAAGCGUUAUCCGGAAUCAUUGGGUUUAAAGGGUCCGCAGGCGGAUUAAUAAGUCAGUGGUGAAAUCCUCUCGCUCAACGAGAGAACUGCCAUUGAAACUGUUAGUCUUGAAUUCGGUCGAAGUAGGCGGAAUGUGUCAUGUAGCGGUGAAAUGCAUAGAUAUGACACAGAACACCGAUAGCGAAGGCAGCUUACUAGACCUGGAUUGACGCUCAUGGACGAAAGCGUGGGGAGCGAACAGGAUUAGAUACCCUAGUAGUCC
rnacentral:rRNA from 1 species